UACAGGGGGUGCAAACGUUGCUCGGAAUCAUUGGGCGUAAAGCGCACGUAGGCGGUUCGUUAUGUCGGAUGUGAAAGCCCUUGGCUUAACCGAGGAAGUGCAUCCGAAACUGGCGAGCUAGAGUACGAAAGAGGAUCGCGGAAUUCCCGGUGUAGAGGUGAAAUUCGUAGAUAUCGGGAGGAACACCGGUGGCGAAGGCGGGUCUCUGGGCCGAUACUGACACUGAGGAGCGAAAGCGUGGGGAGCGAACAGG
rnacentral:rRNA from 1 species